GACGGAGGGUGCAAGCGUUGCUCGGAAUCACUGGGCGUAAAGGGUGCGUAGGCGGUCUCGCAAGUCUGGCGUGAAAGCCCAAGGCUCAGCCUUGGAAGUGCGCUCGAAACGGCGAGGCUGGAGUGCCGGAGGGGAGAGUGGAAUUCCCGGUGUAGCGGUGAAAUGCGUAGAGAUCGGGAGGAACACCGGUGGCGAAGGCGGCAUCCUGGACCAAUUCUGACGCUGAGGAGCGAAAAGCCAGGGGAGCAAAGCGGG
rnacentral:rRNA from 1 species